CAGCGAGUGUGGUGAUGUGUGCGGGACAUGGUGGAGGGCAGGGGAGGAGCCAGGAACAGCACCCAGGGAGGGUGAGCCAGCUGCAACCACCGCACUGCAACAGGGAGGCAACGGGCAUCCUCUGAAGCUGGCAGCAGAGGGCCGCCAGGCCCCUUGGCCCGUUCUGGAGGGCGGCUUGGCAGCAGUGUGGAAGAGGGAUGGAGGAGGAUGUGUCCAAGUCAGCGAGCAGCAGGAGGGCUGCAGCAUUCGGGUGAGGGCCCUCAGGUGGCAGGGGAGGCCCCAGCUCCCUCCGCCCACUCGCAUCCCUGAAGCUCCAACUUUCAUUCAUUUCAUAUGCUUGGCUCCUGUUUCCAAGGACGCUUCUAUCUUUAGACUGCUGUAUUAUGAGAGAGGAUGGGAGAAAUGAGAGCAUCAAGAAACAAAAGACUCAUGGAAUCAUAGGACAUUCAUCUUGGAUGAGACCAGAGAGGCCAACCCAUGUGUGUAUUUCCCCACCCCAUCCAACCCCCAGCAACUCACUCUCCUCUGGACACACCCAGUGACUUGGGAGCAGUCAGCUAUGCCCUAUGGGAAGCACAGGAGCUGCCUGCCUGCUUGCAACGACCAGCCAUUUGAUUUGCCUGCUCUGUACCCUGGCUGCAUCUCAAGGGCUCUUCAAGGGACAAAGAAGUUACAGUCAGAUUGGUUUCUGUGGACGGAAGCCUGGCAGCUCAGCACCUGUCAUGGGCCACCCCGAACACAGCAAGUGGAAAUGCGUCCUCUGGACCCCCACCUGCCUGGGACACUCACCUCAUCCUGACAGGCCCAGCCCUUCUCUGCCAUCCCGUGCUGCGAGGCACCACCAACUGCCAAGGUGUGGGCUGAAGGGCAGCGGCCCAGGCCAAUGGAGACUUGGGGAAGGUAAGGAAAGGAGAACCAAGAAUUAAGUGGGAUGGAGGGAGCAGAAAAGAGAAGAAGUGUCCCAGCAAGGAGGAACUUCCUGGGAAGAUGAAAUAAGAGGCAGAUUCUCCUCGGUGAGUGGUUGCAUAAGUCUAGGGCAGCUCCAUAGUAAGAUUCCAGGGGCAAUAGGGGUGGAUGGAACAUCAACGCAACCUCAAUGGCGGACCGCGGGGUGACAGCGAGGGGUGCCUCCUGCACACCGACAGGGUCUGGUAUUUACUUUAGCACAGGCCUCAGGAAUACAGUUCUGCCUCAUAAAAGACUAGGGAAUGCUGACAAAAGAAAGUUCUGUGCUUUCCUGACAACUGCAUGCACUGUCAGGAAACAGUGGGUCCUACUUAGAGUUGAGUUGGAAAAUGGAUUUGGGGGCUGAAGAAUCAAAUGAUGCUGUGAAGCACUCUCUUUGUGGCGUCUUCAUAACACUUCAUGCUUGUGGAGCUGGCAGUCACUGGAUUCAGCUUCCUCCCAAUGCAGGGAUUCCUUACACACAACUGCUGAGCAGCAUGCAGGGACCUAAGGCCACUCCGUGGUGCAGCCGGCUAAGAAAUGACAGGGCCACCAGGCCGGCUGCACUCCUGUACCUUCCUCUCUUAUUCAGUGCAGGAAGCCCAGUGUUCCUGUAGCAGGCAGCCCCAUGGUCUAGCUCAGUCUAGCUCCACAUCCUGUCCUCAAUGUGACAAAGAUCCUGUGCUUGGCCAGUCUUUAGUCAGGCCCUGAUCCUUCUCCUAGGCCCAUUAGCAAGAACCCCAGCUAAGUCAGUCUGGCAAGAAUUCCCCACAGAAACAUGCUGACAUGCUGACCUGCCUUCAGCAGGAAACCCUUUAGGCUGGUUUGGCCAGAACUGCCCGCAGACUUGGCGUCUCCUCUGAGUAACUUUACACCCACUGACCCUCUGCUCCUUGGCCAUCAGUGCCCACUCGUCCCCGUUGUACUUGUAACGGAGCCCAACCCAGCUCUUCACUGGAGUCUUUUUUGCAAUAGUCCUGAAUAAAAUGUGCCAUCACUGAUUUGAUUUCUGCUGGCUCUGCUUUUCUUUGAUAAGGCGCCACCUUGCUCAUGGCACACAUCUCCUCAGGCUCCACCCGGGAGGGGAGAGUGGCACACCUUUCCCUCUCUCAGGAGAUCAGUUUCUUCCUGACAGUUCUUUGCUGACAUUCCCAUGGCUGAGCUCCAGCUCUUCUGCUGUCACUCUGACAUCCCCAAC
rnacentral:lncRNA from 1 species